rnacentral:lncRNA from 1 species
AAUUAAAACCCGUAAAUCGAAAUCCUAAAUUGGAACCCCAAAAUAAAACCCUACAUGCAACCUUAAAAUCAAAACCCUAAGGGCAACCCAAAACCCUAAUAUAAGCCUUUCUCUUUACUUUCCCCGUUAGGGGUGCGGUGCCACGGUCAAUCAAUCAUGCAAGCGGGGGGAAGCUAGAAUCAAUUGAGAAGAAACGGGGAGUGCCCUUUCUGAGGUCUUGGUAGUCCAAGAGCGAACCAAUGAACCGUCAACAAGUGGAUCCAUAAUGGACGGACCGAUCCUUCAUGCUCCCACCAACUAUCAACGGCUGGAUGUAAGAGAAAAAGAGCAAUCUAUCCUAUAUAACUUUCUGGCUCUCUUGAAAUACAGGUUUCCCGGAAACUACCCCUUGAACCCGUUACGGGAAUUCUCGAGGAUGCAUUUCUUCUUGGGGGAGAAUCUUCAAAAUAUUCCACCGGAAGUUUUAAAUUAAACUUUGCAACCCCAAACCUACCCAAAACCCCAAACUCAUUUUAAAGAGUUGCAUGAAAACCUUUUAUGAAAUAAUCUGUUUUCGAAUACUACCUAGAAGAUGGGAUAUUUAAGAAAUUUUAUUUUAUUAAAAAUUUUCAUAUAUUUCUACAACUCAAACUACAUUUGUUUUGUUAAAAUAACAAAUAUAAAAUAAUAAAAAUUAAUAGAAUAGAUUUUUAAAUAUAAUAAUCUCACCUAAACUCUGUCAGAGGUUAAAGAGUUCAAGUGGUCUCUUCAUAUUUGAAAACCCAAUUUCUAAAUUUACAU